rnacentral:miRNA from 1 species
UAGCCAAGGAUGACUUGCCUUU